UACGAAGGGGGCUAGCGUUGUUCGGAAUCACUGGGCGUAAAGCGCACGUAGGCGGGUCGUUAAGUCAGGGGUGAAAUCCCGAGGCUCAACCUCGGAACUGCCUUUGAUACUGGCGACCUUUGAGUCCGGGAGAGGUGAGUGGAACUCCGAGUGUAGAGGUGAAAUUCGUAGAUAUUCGGAAGAACACCGGUGGUGUAGACGGCUCACUGGACCGUAACUGACGCUGAAACACGAAAGCGUGGGUAGCAAACAGG
rnacentral:rRNA from 1 species